CCGACGCAGAGUCGCUGUAAUAAAUGCUCGGGGAGUUAUAGAGCGAAAGGAUACGAUCCCAGUGAUUAAUGCCAAAGCCCUGUUGCCUGUGGAGAGGGUGAUGCUUGACUUUCUUGUACUGCUGCAGUUUGUGGGGUGAAGGUGCUCCCACAAUGUGGUUGGGAUACUACAGGUGGACAUUCAGAUGGUAAUCUCAGUCAUUGUAACACCAAACUCUGAUUGAAUUAGUUAAUUCAUCAGGACCUGGAUAUUCGCAUUGUGUGUCUGAGCAAUGAUGACAAGUGUGCUAAGCACCUUCUUAACCACCCUGUCUACAUGUGACACAGACUUGAAAGACCCGAACCCCUCGGCCUCUU